ACUCCUACGGGAGGCAGCAGUGGGGAAUAUUGCACAAUGGGCGCAAGCCUGAUGCAGCAACGCCGUGUGAGUGAAGAAGGUUUUCGGAUCGUAAAACUCUGUCCUAAGGGAAGAAACAAAUGACGGUACCUUAGGAGGAAGCCCCGGCUAACUACGUGCCAGCAGCCGCGGUAAUACGUAGGGGGCAAGCGUUAUCCGGAAUCACUGGGGCGUAAAGGGUGCGUAGGCGGCUUAGCAAGCCAGGGGUGAAAGGCAUUGGCUCAACCAAUGUAAGCCUUUGGAACUGUUAAGCUUGAGUGCAGGAGAGGUAAGUGGAAUUCCUAGUGUAGAGGUGAAAUUCGUAGAUAUUAGGAGGAACACCAGUGGCGAAGGCGACUUACUGGACUGUAACUGACGCUGAUGCACGAAAGCGUGGGUAGCGAACAGGAUUAGAUACCCUGGUAGACUGUC
rnacentral:rRNA from 1 species